rnacentral:lncRNA from 1 species
CACGUGUCCCCGGAAGUGUACGUCUGCGGUCACGGGGCGAGGCCGGCUCCCGGAAGACGCCGAUUUUAGCGUUUCCAAGGAGAUUAAAACGCCCUCGAGAAUACAGCUUACUUAAAGGAGCGCCUAAGGAGGUAAGAGGCUGGGUGUCUUGGCGAGCGGGUCUGCUUCUAAGACUGCACGAAGCAGCUACACACGGUGGAAGGCCUGUGUCCUAAGAUGGCGGCGACCGCGGCUAGACAGACUUCCCUGACCUUGAGCCUGGUCAGCCUGGGGGCGGCAGCGCCCCUCGUGGUGUGGAGGUGAACAACAACAACGAAACCACGGUGAUCGUAGACUUUCAACUUCUGUGUACUUGGCAAAAUAAGAAUAAAUUAUUCAAUACUUAGCAUUGUAUACCAGCCUGGGAUAAGCGAUUCAUAUGCAUUGCCUCAUUUAAUCCUCACCACAUUAUCAAAUAGAUACUGUUUUGACUUCCCUUUUAAAGAAAGCGAUUUUAUUUUAUUUUUUAAAGUUUUAUUGGAGUAUAGUUGAUUUACAAUGUUGUGUUAGUUUCAGGUGUACAGCAAAGUCAUUCAGUUAUACAUAUACAUAUACUCAUUCUUUUUCAGAUUCUUUUCUCAUAUAGGUUAUCUCAGAAUACUGAGCUCCCUGUGCCAUACAGUAGACCUGUGUUGCUUAUCCAUCUUAUAUAUAGUAGUGUGUGUAUGUUAAUCCCAAACUCCUGAUUUAUCCCUACUCCACCACGUUUCCCCUUUGGUAACCAUAAGUUUGUUUUCGAUGUCUGUAAGUCUGUUUCUGUUUUGUAAAUAAGUUCAUUUGUAUCAUUUUUUAAAAAAAUAGUUUCCACAUAUGAGUGAUAGCAUAUGAUAUUUGUCUUUCUCUGUAUGACUUACUUCACUUAGUAUGAUAAUCUCUAGGUCAUCCACGUUGAUGCAAAUGGAAUUAUUUCGUUCUUUUUUUAUGGCUGAGUAACACUCCAUUGUAUGCACGUACCACUUCUUCUUUAUCCAUUCCUCUGUCGAAGGUGGCUUCCAUGUCUUGGUUAUUGUAAAUAGUGCUGCUAUGAACAUAGGGGUUCAGGUAUCUUUUCAAAUUAUGGUCUUCUCCAGAUAUAUAUGCCCAGGAGUGGGAUUGCUGGAUCAUAUGGUAGUUCUGUUUCUAGUUUUCUUUUUUUUUUAAUAAAUUUAUUUAUUUUAUUUAUUUAUUUUUGGCUGUGUUGGGUCUUCGUUGCAGUACGUGGGCUUCUCAUUGCGGUGGCUUCUCUCAUUGUGGAGCACGGGCUCUAGGCUCACGGGCUUCAGUAGUUGUGGCCUGUGGGCUCAGUAGUUGUGGCACACGGGCCUAGUUGCUCCGCAGCAUGUGGGAUCUUCCCUGACCAGGGCUCGAACCCGUGUCCCCUGCAUUGGCAGGCAGAUUCUUAACCACUGCACCACCAGGGAAGUCCGAGGCACUUCCUUUUUUUUUUUUUUUGCUCUUCCUUUUUAAAAGAAAAUAUAUUUUCCCCUGAUAGUAUAAAAAAAAAAAUCCAUGCUCAUUAUAAACAAUCCACACAAUACAGAAAAGUAUAUAGCAAAAAAGUAAAAAUCAUCUCUAAAUUUUUUCUUCUAGAGAUACCACUAUUAUUAAAUUGGAGCAUCAUUCCAGAAAUAACUUUCUAUACUUAUAUCUAUAUGUAUAUUUUUAGUAUGUAAUAUACAAUCUCAUGUAAAUGAAAUUGUAUUCUAUAUGCCAUUUGGUAACUCUUUUUCUCACUCAACAUUGUGGACAUCCUCCCGUAACAACUAAUAGAGAUUUACAAUACUUUUUUUACAGAUAUUUCAAAUUUCAUUUAUUAUUUUGAAUAUUACAUGUAUUCACACAAAUUAAAAAUUGCAGUUAUCAAAAAGUAUGUUUUAAAAAACCCUACUCC